rnacentral:rRNA from 1 species
GACGAGGGAUCCUAGCGUUGUUCGGAAUCAUUGGGCGUAAAGGGCGCGUAGGUGGCCCGGUCAGUCAGUGGUGAAAGCGCGGGGCUCAACUCCGCGUCGGCCAUUGAUACUGCUGGGCUGGAGCACUGUAGAGGCAGGCGGAAUUCCGGGUGUAGCGGUGGAAUGCGUAGAGAUCCGGAAGAACACCGGUGGCGAAGGCGGCCUGCUGGGCAGUGGCUGACACUGAGGCGCGACAGCGUGGGGAGCAAACAGG